rnacentral:rRNA from 1 species
GACGAACGCUGGCGGCGUGCUUAACACAUGCAAGUCGAACGGUGAAGCGCCUUCCCUUUUGGUGGGUGUGGAUGAGUGGCGAACGGGUGAGUAACACGUGAGUAACCUGCCCCCUUCUUCUGGAUAACCGCAUGAAAGUGUGGCUAAUACGGGAUAUUCUGGGUCUGUCGCAUGAUGGGUCUGGGAAAGAUAUUGUUUCGGUGGGGGAUGGGCUCGCGGCCUAUCAGCUUGUUGGUGGGGUGAUGGCCUACCAAGGCGGUGACGGGUAGCCGGCCUGAGAGGGUGGACGGUCACACUGGGCCUGAGACACGGCCCAGACUCCUACGGGAGGCAGCAGUGGGGAAUAUUGCACAAUGGGCGCAAGCCUGAUGCAGCGACGCCGCGUGAGGGAUGGAGGCCUUCGGGUUGUGAACCUCUUUCGCCAGUGAAGCAGGCCUGCCUCGUUUGUGGGUGGGUUGACGGUAGCUGGAUAAGAAGCGCCGGCUAACUACGUG